UCAUAGUUGCAAACUCGAUGACUAUGGAGGGAAAUGGCACCAAAAAUAUUUUGUAUUAUUACGAGCUUUCAUGGAACUGUAACUUACAAAUUAGCCCUCAAGCCUGAAAGAAUGGGUGGGUGGUGACAGCCGCUUCCUUUUCGGGCUGCUAUAGUCACACUUCCCUUCUAUUGUAAAGGCCCCCAUUUCAAUACUCUCUCUCUCUCUCUCCUCUCUCUNGCUCCCUACUACUCUCUCUCUCUCUCUCUCUCUCUCUCUCCCCCUGUGAUAUGACAUAUCUAUACUCAUUAAACUAUGGCAAAAGAUUUGCACGUCUGCUCGUCAACCUUGCUUAUCCUCCUGAGUGAGGAAGAAC
rnacentral:lncRNA from 1 species